GAUGAACGCUGGCGGCGUGCCUAAUACAUGCAAGUCGAGCGAACAGACGAGGAGCUUGCUCCUCUGACGUUAGCGGCGGACGGGUGAGUAACACGUGGAUAACCUACCUAUAAGACUGGGAUAACUUCGGGAAACCGGCGCUAAUACCGGAUAAUAUAUUGAACCGCAUGGUUCAAUAGUGAAAGACGGUUUUGCUGUCACUUAUAGAUGGAUCCGCGCCGCAUUAGCUAGUUGGUAAGGUAACGGCUUACCAAGGCAACGAUGCGUAGCCGACCUGAGAGGGUGAUCGGCCACACUGGAACUGAGACACGGUCCAGACUCCUACGGGAGGCAGCAGUAGGGAAUCUUCCGCAAUGGGCGAAAGCCUGACGGAGCAACGCCGCGUGAGUGAUGAAGGUCUUCGGAUCGUAAAACUCUGUUAUUAGGGAAGAACAAAUGUGUAAGUAACUAUGCACGUCUUGACGGUACCUAAUCAGAAAGCCCCGGCUAACUACGUG
rnacentral:rRNA from 1 species